AUGCCUUCAUUUUUCGUCAGCUCCUAUAGAAACACAUUCCUGAUACAUGUCUAUGUGAAGGUUCAGCCUUUCUCAACUUCUGAUGAGCAAAAGCAAUGGGAAAUUUUAAGUUAUUUGGCAAUUUACUUGCAUGAUGAUCCAUUAUGUGUGUAUGUGCUGGUGAUCCUGGUAACUCAGCAAGGAAAUACAAAGUUAACAGUUUUUGUUUCUUGCCAGAUGUGAAAUAUAAAAGGCAGACAGAGCACCAAUGUCACUUUUGCCUGAGAGCUCCCCUAAAUUGUCUCUCCUCACGUGCUUUGGUGCAGGUAACAGGACAAAACAGAGGACAGUGGGAGGUCAGGCUCCUUGGGCAUUGUGGACCACUGUGUAACAAGAAUGGUUCUCUCAGAACUGACUCAGGAAAUGGAUCUGGUUGA
rnacentral:lncRNA from 1 species